AAAGUCUUAGAAUUUUCAUUAUGUACCCAGAUUUUUUUAUAAUUUUUUUUUAAAUAUUGCCUAAAAUUAGAUGCCCACGUUGAUAAUGCAAAAUUUUUCACGCCAUGGUUGUUUAUUCGUUCUUCUUACGUGACGAUGUUUGACUGUUGAAUUGCGACAUUUUUUUACUUAAAAAUAUGAUACACAGUGGCACUCUAUUGAUUAUUUUUCUUCAUUUUUUUGUAUUUGCAAUGUAGUUUUAUAGUCUUCAGUAGUAUAGUAAUUCAGGUGGUCUUACCUUUGGGUUCUUUGACAUGAUUAUAGUGUUCAGUAUAUUUCCUUAGGUUGGUACAAGGAGCGCGUAGGCUGGUUGAUGCCCAACCAAGUAAUCAUGGUUGAAAACAGUUUUUAG
rnacentral:lncRNA from 1 species